UUAACAUCCUGUCCCCGUGGUACUUACCUCGUAACUCUGACCGCUCUUACCUCAGCAGGUUAACCCCUGAUCAAAGGUCACAUGACAACUUUAGUCGGUAGCUGGAACCAGUGAGUUCAGGAAGGGAAGAUGACUGGACGGUGGUUCGUCGGCUUACCUGUGAUAUAUCAAAAGAAAAAAAAAUAAACUUUGAGAUUUUGAUGGAAAGAUUUAAUCACAGAAAUUGCAUUUCAGCAUUAAGAGAGACGAUAUCAUCGUUUGUCGCGAGACGACAAACAGGGUAAAGGCGGAGACCUGCCACGCGCAGAAUAUGAUUUGUUGGGGGACUCGUUUGUCAAGCGGAAAUGACAUUCGAUCACUUGAUUGUUGUGAUCAGACCACGUAAAGUUCCACAACUGUGCAAACAACACGUGUGUGCAAAUACCAUCGGCUUUAGUCACGUGUAAACGACGAUUAAACAGUUUACAUUGUGUGUAAGCGAUCAUGGAAAAUGUAAUCAGUAGUGAACUUUAAGUGGUUCACCGUGCCUAGGGGAUUUCUGCUUGAUAGAUUGGUUGUCUAGUAGCAGAGCUGAAGUUCCCCCUCGGAAGCCGUAACAAACGGACUUAAAAAUGUAUUCAGUUUAGUUUGAAAAAGCGAAAACUUUCACAGAAGACUUAUUAGAACAUUUUUAAAUAAAUUUAAAUCAGGAAAAAUAAAAGUUCUGCAUGCCGGUUGAGAAAAACAAGGAUAAAAGGAGUGCAAUGGCCACACAUCUCCGGGUGUGUCGGGGGCAGGAGCCCAUGUUUAUUUGUUCAGAAUGGGAUUUCCAAGACUGAUAAUCUGCUUUUUUUCCGCACGCCACCUGUACAAUCGAUACGUCACACCUGCACGUCACUUUCUUCCACCUCGAUCCUCGUCUGAGCCUCGAUACCCGUGGGUGUAUUUGCUUUCCGUGGGUGAGGCCUGCACGUCAUUUAGCACUUCUGCAUCUCGAGUAUCAUCUGGCCGUGUUUUUGUUUCCUUAUUUGUCUCGUUUUACCUUGGCUUUAUCGCCGAUACCCGCUAUUUUUACUCACCUGUGUUUUCCCAAGGUCUUGUGUUCACCUGAGCCGGUUUCAUGUUUUGUUGGAUUUUUGGUUUCCAUGGAUGAGAACAGGCAUCACGCUGGGAGAACAAUGUCUGAGCUAUUUACAGUCGGGUGGCUGGGUUCUUCUUGUUUUGGUCUCUACAGAUGAUAAUUAUUUGUAAGCAGCCCGCAAAUAGGAGGAGGAUGCUGACAUGCUGUCUGACAAGAAAUUAUUUCAAUUUCCGCUUCAUCCUAAUUGUCGGAAAGCUUCAUGGUGAAGACAGAUUAACGGUAUUGCAGGUAAAUAUUCUCGCAUCAAACCCACACUUACUCUUGCAACCUCUUCUCUUGAGUUCAGCUUUUGAGUAGUUCAUCAACUGAUUCACUAAUUCCUCCAAAGCCAUCAAUAAAGCUGCAAUGAAUCGUUUGUGAUGAACUUGUCCAGCAGAGGAAUGUUUUGUGGGUUACUAGUUUGUAUCGCCAUGGAGACGAUGUUGCAUUGUUUUGUUAGGCCGUUGGAAAACCGCCAAAGAAACAAAAUGUUGAAUGUCGUUUCAGUUGUCUGAGGUAAUAAAAACAACAAACGAAAAAGCUUUGCCAAGUCCAUUUAGUGUAUCAAAAACAACAACAAGAAGAAGCUUAAAUAAAAAACAAAAACAAAAAACAAAAACAAAAAAACAAAAAAACAAAAAACAAAACAAAAAACAAGAGCUUUUGUUAGGCCGGCGUUUCGUGUUCCUUUUAUUUGUCGUUUCCUUCUUUUUUCAAACGACCAGAGAUUUCUUUGAAGGAAAAAAGCGUCUGACGUGUUCUCUACGUGUUCUCUACGUGAUGACUGUUUAGUAGCUUGAAUGAAUAAAUAUAUACGACACAAAGUACAGAGAAAGGUGAAAAGGCUUCAGCAUUCUAUUUGAUUUCUAGAUAAUGUCGGUUGAUUACAUUCCUGUCUGCCCUUUGUACGCUCCUGAAGAUGAUAUUUAUCCUGUGCGUGUAUCCUGCUGACAGGUACACACAGUAGUGCUCAACCCUGGAGUAUGUUUACACUGCUCACCUACAUCAUUAACUCAUUGAUGAAGAAAGAACCUUGUAUUAUGUAUGUGGUGUUCACAUGUACAUAUUGUUCAAGUUGAUGGUGACCUGAAUACAAUUUUAACUCGGACCUAAGUUUUUGUGUUUUUAUUUACAUGUGCACGUGCGGAUGUAGAGUUGUUACAAAAGUCUUGAGUAAACACGUCGUGGUGUGAGUGUUGUGUUUGUGUGUGUGUGUGAGUGAGAGAGAGACAGAAAGGGAGACAGAGUGUAUGUAUGCAUUAACUAAUUUUCAUGUUAUACCAAGAUUUCUUCAGAGAAUCCGAGAACUCUCAAAAUUAUUUCACUGGCAUCCCCGUCGUAAACUGAUUUGAGAAAGGCCGGUGUAAAGCACGUGAGAACCACACCUGUGUGAAAGGUUGCCACCUGCCCGGACGGACUAAGUACAGGUAAGCGCACCACGCAGCGUCGUUUCCGAUGCCGCUACAGGUUCAUCUGCUCUGGUCAAUACGAUGGGCGUGGUCACAGUUCUUCUUCCUGUCACACGCCACUCGUCAACUCCGAUCCAUCGCCUACCUGCACAGGUAACUGCUACAUGAUACAAGAACGGUAACAACCAGGUGUUACAGGUGAUAAGAACAAAGUGCAGGCUUAACAACCCCGGCGUCUGAAGAGCUGUUGCCGAGGAGUUUAGGUUUUGUUUCUGUUGGAAGAAUUAUAAACAGAGUCAAGAACUGGGAGGUGCAUCCAAACCCUGAGGGGAGGGUUCAUUGUGAUGAUAGCUCCGUUGUCUGGCAUACCCGCCGUGUAAGAACCUCCACCUGUUGAACGAACGACCUGGGUGGUGCUGUACACAUCCUCCCAAGAUGCUUUCAUUCGGAGUGGAAGCUUCGCUCAUCACAUCCCCUCACCUGAGGGACACCUGACCAGCCUUGACCCUACAGUGGCCUCAGGUGAUGGCGGCGGCGGUGGGUAGAACCCUGUGGACGUUGUGUUCGCCUUAUCGCUCGACUUCAAAUCUGCGGUCGAAGUUGUCGUCGGGGUGAAAAAAAAAAAAAAAAGGAAAGCAAACAAACUGACGCAACCAUGUGAUAAAACUAUAAAUCAUGGAAGCGAGCAUCGAAUGAUCUAGACCGUUCAACGUUGCGUUUCGCCGAUUCCCGCCGAUAAGGAAGAUUGUAGUGUAUCGUAAUGCCAUCGAUCUGCAGCCGGAACUUGAUACAGAUGCUCGGCAGCUUGGGUCCUGCUGCAGACAGAGAGACAAAGUUCAGGCUCCGCAAUCCCAGACUUGUCUGCAGCUCACACACCCGCCACUCAGCUGUAAUAACAAUACCUACGGACGUUGAAGGAAGGGAUUACACAGUUUUUAGUCGGAUGUAUCGAUGCACCCUGACACGUCCUGCCGACAGAAAAGCUUUUCCGCAUUGGCAGACGGCUGAAGCACAACAUGUAUGACGAUUGGCAUAAUGAAAACAUGGGUUAGCACACAAACGAUGUGUGGUUAAGGCUUCCUGAUGAGUUAAAUCUCACGAGUCGUCUUCGCUCAGGACUGAUGUUAAUUAUCUCCAGACCUCGGGCCGGAUACAGCAAAGGGGUCGCACACUUCAUGGCAGAGGCGUGUCCGGCGCGCUUGCCGCAGGUCAGCGGGUCACUUCCAGUGGAGUGGCUGCUGGUGUCUCUUCUGUACAUGCUGCUGGCCACGGAGAUCAUCAACAUCCUCCGAGACCGGUAUAUGAUCCAGGGUCACAGGUCAGACCUAAAGGACCCGACACCUGCAAGCCGACCUCUCGUUACUUCAACAAGGAAACCGUGCGGCAUGUCUCACAAGAAGAAAGCUGCUGGCUCAUUGGACCAUUUGUGGCGACGCAUGCGGCAAGCGACCAAUCAGAUGAGGCUUAUUAACCUGCGCCACCAAGUCAUCACCAAAGUGAUGAUGGAGUCUCGUAUCGAGGCCCGGAUGCAGGAGAGAGAGAAGCAGCAAAGGAAAAAGCAGAAGCUUCUGGCGGAGUUAAAGUGACACAGUGUGGACAUGACACAGUGUGGACAUGACACAAUGUGGACAUGACACAAUGUGGACAUGACACAAUGUGGACAUGACACAAUGUAGACAAACUAUUGGCUACGCGGACUCAUCCCAAUGUUAGUUAACAGAUGUUCUGUGUGACACUCAUUGACUGGAUGCUGUAGUAGCCGAUGCAUUUAAGCUUGAUGCUGUGAUGAUAACAGACGGGUGGAUGUGCAUGAUUUUCAUGGAAGAGGUGAGAAGAUGUUUGGAGAGGUUAAAGGUCAAUUUAAGCGCUAUACAAAAAAACGGGUAACAAUGUAUUUCACGAUGUUCCGAGAGAUCAAGAUUCUCAAGAAGUUAAUUAAUUUCAUCUCGAAUUAUAAUCCAAAGAAGUUAAUUCAAGACAUUUCUCAGAAAUAUUCCGAUUCAAGUUCCAGAAAGGCCAGGCUUACCCUAUCCCCUGUGUCUUGCCUCUUUUAUUGUUAGGAUCCUGCAACAUUCUUAAACAUCUGUUCUGUCUACAACAGUGGUUUUUUUUUCAAACGACAGGAAAAAGAUCGCUAGAGUCUGCUAAUAUUGUCGGUACCUUUAAGGUUGUUGUCCCUUUCUAAAUCCUGUGUGGGAUUCUGGUAUAACUUUGUUUUGAAACAGCCAGUCAUACAAUUCAGUGUUGAAUGACUGACGAAUAACAUUUGCCAAUCACAGCAGAGAGAUUCCUCUGUAAUUAAUGUGGGACUCAUGGUACAAUGACAACUUCUUUCCACAAGUGGGGACAUUUCCCAUUCACAAACACAUUGUUAAAGUAUUUGUUCAAAAUCCCAGAACACGUUCUACUCCUACCUUCAACAUUUCUGCCAAAAUGUUGUGUAUACCACAUGCCUUACCACAUCUCAGGCCCCUGAUUACUGAGUGUACCUCGUUUUCACAAAUAAUGUCAUUUACUGCUUCAGUUCAGGCAGGUGGUCAUUGCCACCUGGGUUUAGUCUGGAACAGGACAGGGUGUGAAAUAAUUGAAUGAUUUCUUUGAUACUGCCACAAACUAUAUUCAAACAGCUCUGAUAUUUUGUGCAUCAUCCUGGGCAGAUAAAACUUUGCCUCCUGACAAUCAUCGUCAAUCCUUUCUGUGAUUGUGUGCAAACAAUAAUUUUCUUCAUGUCCGUUGCAGGUGACUAGAGGCUGUUCACACCCUCAUGGCAAUAUUCGUGUUCUGUUUGACAAACUCGUGUUAGGUUCACUUGGUCUUGCCCUGUAGUCAACACAGAUGCGCCCUUUCUCCUGUCCCUCUAUUGUUUGUAAACAAUUUUCACCUGCACGUACAUCGGCUUAGUGUUGGUGAGACUGGCAGGUUGUCAGACUCUGUUUUCUUCGUUCAGUGUACAAACCUUCAUCACAAAGUUCAUUCGAUGUGCAAACAAACCCUAGCAGACUGGAUCCUGCCUCCGAGUUGAAAGUCCUACCACCAUCUACAUCGAAACAAGACUACAACCGUUAAAAAAUGUAGCAUUCAUAGUGUUAACUAUUGGAUCUUCUGACAUCAUGAGAGAGAGAGAGACAGAGAGAUGAAGUGUGUAUUUAUCUUCACGUGUGUCUCUGUGUCUCUGUGUGUCUGUGUGUCUCUGUGUGUCUGUGUAUAUCUGUCUAUUUGUACGUGUAUGUGCAGCCUCUAGUAAUCGGUUUUGUGUCUCGGCUUGACUGAAAAAAAGAACGAAUAAUAGCAGAAAUCGUGCCGUGAAAGAUAAAAGAAAGGUUUCAACUAGUCACAUCAUUGUGUGUAUAUGCGGGCAUCCCUGCAAAAAUGUGCAGAAUGUGAAAAUAACUGAAAAUAAAAGAGAUACAUAUAACAUACUUCUUUGCGCCCACGCGUGUGUUGGUGUUGCUGGUGGUAGUGUGUUUGUGUGUGUGCGUGCGUGCGCAUGUUUUUGUGGAUGCAUAUGCUAGCAACUAACAUGAGCUUUUGUCCUUAAAGUACCAGUGGGAUACACACACAAUCUCUUAGUCUCGUUCUACCAUCCCUCUCUCUCUCUCAAUCAAUCUACCUUUACCUCUCUCUCUUCCUUCCCUCUAUCUCUCUUUUAGAUACAAUUAAUUACUUACUCUCUGGAACACUCUCACACGCAUAAUUAGUCACUGUUUCUUUCUCCCUCCUAUCCUCU
rnacentral:misc_RNA from 1 species